rnacentral:rRNA from 1 species
GAUGAACGCUGGCGGCGUGCCUAAUACAUGCAAGUCGAGCGAACAGACGAGGAGCUUGCUCCUCUGACGUUAGCGGCGGACGGGUGAGUAACACGUGGAUAACCUACCUAUAAGACUGGGAUAACUUCGGGAAACCGGAGCUAAUACCGGAUAAUAUCUUGAACCGCAUGGUUCAAUAGUGAAAGACGGUUUUGCUGUCACUUAUAGAUGGAUCCGCGCGGCAUUAGCUAGUUGGUAAGGUAACGGCGUACCAAGGCGAGGAUCCUUAGCCGACCUGAGGGGGUGAUCGGCCACACGGGAACUGAGACACGGUCCAGACUCCUACGGGAGGAAGCAGUAGGGAAUCUUCCGCAAUGGGCGAAAGCCUGACGGAGCAACGCCGCGUGAGUGAUGAAGGUCUUCGGAUCGUAAAACUCUGUUAUAAGGGAAGAACAAAUGUGUAAGUAACUAUGCACGUCUUGACGGUACCUAAUCAGAAAGCCACGGCUAACUACGUG